rnacentral:rRNA from 1 species
UACGUAGGGCGCAAGCGUUAUCCGGAAUCACUGGGCGUAAAGCGCACGUAGGCGGAUUGUUAAGUCAGGGGUGAAAUCCUGGAGCUCAACUCCAGAACUGCCUUUGAUACUGGCGAUCUCGAGUCCGGGAGAGGUGAGUGGAACUGCGAGUGUAGAGGUGAAAUUCGUAGAUAUUCGCAAGAACACCAGUGGCGAAGGCGGCUCACUGGCCCGGUACUGACGCUGAGGUGCGAAAGCGUGGGGAGCAAACAGG